rnacentral:rRNA from 1 species
GUGAGGAAUUUUCCGCAAUGGGCGAAAGCCUGACGGAGCAAUGCCGCGUGAAGGAUGAAGGCCUAUGGGUUGUAAACUUCUUUUCUCAGAAAAGAAUUAUGACGGUAUCUGAGGAAUAAGCAUCGGCUAACUCUGUGCCAGCAGCCGCGGUAAGACAGAGGAUGCAAGCGUUAUCCGGAAUGAUUGGGCGUAAAGCGUCUGUAGGUUGUUUAAAAAGUAUUCUGUCAAAGAUUAGGGCUUAACCCUAGAUAGGCAGAAUAAACUUUUAAGCUAGAGUUUGGUAGAGGCCGAGGGAAUUCCCGGUGGAGCGGUGAAAUGCGUGGAUAUCGGGAGGAACACCAAAGGCGAAGGCACUCUGCUGUGCCAAUACUAACACUGGGAGACGAAAGCGAGGGGAGCAAAUGGGAUUAGAAACCCUUGUAGUCC